UGGGGAAUAUUGCACAAUGUGGGAAACCCUGAUGCAGCGACGCCGCGUGAGCGAAGAAGGUUUUCGAAUCGUAAAGCUCUGUCCUAUGAGAAGAUAAUGACGGUAUCAUAGGAGGAAGCCCUGGCUAAAUACGUGCCAGCAGCCGCGGUAAUACGUAUGGGGCGAGCGUUGUCCGGAAUUAUUGGGCGUAAAGGGUACGUAGGUGGUUUUUUAAGUCAGGUGUCAAAGCGUGGAGCUUAACUCCAUUAAGCACUUGAAACUGAAAGACUUGAGUGAAGGCGAGGAAAGUGGAAUUCCUAGUGUAGCGGUGAAAUACGUAGAUAUUAGGAGGAAUACCAGUGGCGAAGGCGACUUUCUGGACUUUUACUGACGCUAAGAUACGAAAGCGUGGAGAGCAAACAGG
rnacentral:rRNA from 1 species